rnacentral:rRNA from 1 species
GACGAACGCUGGCGGCGUGCUUAACACAUGCAAGUCGAACGGAAAGGCCCUGCUUUUGUUGGGUGCUCGAGUGGCGAACGGGUGAGUAACACGUGAGUAACCUGCCCUUGACUUUGGGAUAACUUCAGGAAACUGGGGCUAAUACCGGAUAGGAGCUCCUGCUGCAUGGUGGGGGUUGGAAAGUUUCGGCGGUUGGGGAUGGACUCGCGGCUUAUCAGCUUGUUGGUGGGGUAGUGGCUUACCAAGGCUUUGACGGGUAGCCGGCCUGAGAGGGUGACCGGCCACAUUGGGACUGAGAUACGGACCAGAAUCCUACGGGAGGCAGCAGUGGGGAAUAUUGCACAAUGGGCGGAAGCCAGAUGCAGAAACGCCGCGUGCGGGAUGACGGCCUUCGGGUUGUAAACAGAUUUCGAAUGUGACGAAGCGUGAGUGACGGUAAUGGGUAAAGAAGCACCGGCUAACUACGUG